ACGCCUAAUACAUGCAAGUCGAACGAAGUAGCAAUACUUAGUGGCAGACGGGUGAGUAACAUGUGGGUAUCUUCCCUUUGGUGAGGAAUAACACGAGGAAACUUGUGCUAAUACCUCAUAAGUCUUUACGGAGAAAGCUUUAUGCGCCAAUGGAUGAGCCCGCACUUGAUUAGUUAGUUGGUAGGGUAAUGGCCUACCAAGACAUUGAUCAAUAGCUGAUUUGAGAGGAUGAUCAGCCACAUUGGGACUGAGACACGGCCCAAACUCCUACGGGAGGCAGCAGUAGGGAAUCUUGCACAAUGGGGGCAACCCUGAUGCAGCGAUGCCGCGUGAGUGAAGAAGGCCUUUGGGUUGUAAAGCUCUUUCGUCGGGGAAGAAAAUGACUGUACCCGAAUAAGAAGGUCCGGCUAACUUCGUGCCAGCAGCCGCGGUAAUACGAAGGGACCUAGCGUAGUUCGGAAUUACUGGGCUUAAAGAGUUCGUAGGUGGUUAAAAAAGUUGGUGGUGAAAUCCCAGAGCUUAACUCUGGAACUGCCAUCAAAACUUUUUAGCUAGAGUAUGAUAGAGGAAAGCAGAAUUUCUAGUGUAGAGGUGAAAUUCGUAGAUAUUAGAAAGAAUACCAAUUGCGAAGGCAGCUUUCUGGAUCAUUACUGACACUGAGGAACGAAAGCAUGGGUAGCGAAGAGGAUUAGAUACCCUCGUAGUCCAUGCCGUAAACGAUGUGUGUUAGACGUUGGAAAUUUUUUUCAGUGUCUCAGCGAAAGCAAUAAACACACCGCCUGGGGAGUACG
rnacentral:rRNA from 1 species